rnacentral:rRNA from 1 species
CGUGUCGUGAGAUGUUCGGUUAAGUCCGCUAACGAGCGCAACCCUCGUCGUGUGUUAUACGUGUCACACGAUACUGCCGGUAUCAAGCCGGAGGAAGGUGGGGAUGAUGUCAAGUCAGCAUGGCCUUUAUAUCCUGGGCUACACACACGCUACAAUGGCAGAUACAAUAGGUUGCGAAACCGCGAGGUGGAGCCAAUCCUCAAAGUCUGUCUCAGUUCAGAUUGUAGGCUGCAACUCGCCUGCAUGAAGUUGGAGUUGCUAGUAAACGCAGGUCAGCUAUACUGCGUUGAAUACGUUCCCGGGUUU